rnacentral:rRNA from 1 species
CCUACGGGGUGCUGCAGUGAGGAAUAUUGGUCAAUGGGCGCGAGCCUGAACCAGCCAAGUAGCGUGAAGUCUUCCUUCCCUCCGUUUUUUCAACUUCUUUUAUAAAGGAAUAAAGUGAGGCACGUGUGCCUUUUUGUAUGUACUUUAUGAAUAAGGAUCGGCUAACUCCGUGCCAGCAGCCGCGGUAAUACGGAGGAUCCGAGCGUUAUCCGGAUUUAUUGGGUUUAAAGGGAGCGUAGAUGGGUUGUUAAGUCAGUUGUGAAAGUUUGCGGCUCAACCGUAAAAUUGCAAUUGAUACUGGCAGCCUUGAGUACAGUUGAGGUAGGCGGAAUUCGUGGUGUAGCGGUGAAAUGCUUAGAUAUCACGAAGAACUCCGAUUGCGAAGGCAGCUUACUAAACUGCCACUGACAUUGAUGCUCGAAAGUGUGGGUAUCAAACAGGAUUAGAUACCCUUGUAGUC